UUUUUCCUUUUCAUUUUUUUAGCACCUUUUUUUCCCCUCAAUUUUUGAACAAACAUACAACUACCACUUCAGAAUAUAGCCCAAUAAUAAUCAACAUGAACAAUCAGUUAUAACUACUGCCUCUGGUUGAUCAAACAAACUUAUUAUUCAAAACAGAAAAUUCAGCACAAAGUUCUGUUUGGGGAGACCGGGCGUAUACAGAUAUCUUUCCUCUAGAAAUCAGGCAGGAUAAAUUUUUGAAUUUAAACAUGCACAAUAGGGCCAAAAGAUGGUCAAAACAGGCCUUGUUAAAUAUUU
rnacentral:lncRNA from 1 species